AUAUACCGCGAAGGCAGACACCUGCAGCAGCAGCAGUCGACUGUUACGAUAUUUACGUACAUAAUAUAGUCGUGUGUCGGGUCGCGCAUUUACAGACCUUAUCCGAGUUCGGCUCUAAGUAAACGUACGCUCCUCCGUCGAUCGGGACCCAGCGUUUCCGUUUUACGCUUAGGACGCGAACUACUCCGGGAAAACACUAUUGGAUUUUUUACGGACCUCGCUCGUAAGAUCGCCACGACGCUCCAUUUUCGUCACGUUGGUUUGAGAAAAACGCGCCUGUUUUAAAUUUCAGUUAUUUACCGACGUGCCGAUUUUCGAGUUAUAACAACGAAACGCGUAUCGUUUGACGUUUGACGCGUUUAAAAACUAUGCACACGCACACACACUAUUAAGAUAUCUUCCGUUUCUGUGGUUAUGAUUAGGGCACGGAUUUAAACACACUUAAGAUACGUAAAAAAACGCUUAAACCGUUAAAAAAGCACUUAAAAAUAUUUUAAAAUGCUAAAAAUGGUAGACGAUAAUUCUUACCCCAUUAAAUACGUUU